GCGGGAGUAGCUCAAUUGGCAGAGUUCCACCCUUCCAAGGUGGGCGUUGCGGGUUCGAAUCCCGUCUCCCGCUCCA
rnacentral:tRNA from 1 species